AGAUUUAGCUAUACAUUAGUUUUGAGCUUGUGAGGAAAUGAAGAGAAGUUAUUGAAGGAAAAUAGAAAUGGCAUUUCUUCGUGAGUUUUCGUGAAACUCAACUCCUCCUCGAUCACGGUUUAUCUUGGAUCCUUUUCUGCUUAGGUAUGUCCGUAUGUGAAAAAUUAAACUGGUAAAAUUCCUUGUGUUUGUAAGUUGUAACCUUCCCGUGUGAUCCUUGAGCCUGUCAGCGUAAAUACACAUCCUUCUACUUUUCUCUCUAAUAGCAGGCACACAUUUCCUUCAUUGACUGGGCACAAUUUCAGCAAAUGAUACAAUAUAAUUGGAGCAGUUCGGCUGGCAGUGGCAAAUGGAUCUGUGUUCUACUACAGCACCGCCAAGGCAAGGAUCUUUCAGCAGGUAACCAUUUGAAAUGAACGAAAAAUUAGUUGAUGUUUAGCAAAACUGUUCACUGUUUAGAGUCGGCUUGUCUGCCUUGACAUGCGCCUCAUUAAUCAUCAAAAAGUUGUAAUUCUCAUUUGAAAAUACAAGGGUUUGCACACCAGUGGCCACCCCUCGCAGGAAGCUCUUUUUUGGUUCAUUCAUCAGCAUCAAUUAAGGCACUAACAUCACUUGUUUAUUGCUGAUACACAUCAUGCCUGCUCUUAAUUGCUUGGAGUUAAACUAAUGGCUACCUCUUCCCAAUGAUACCUAUCAUCUACGCAUAUCUGUUCCACCAUCUCGUUCUCACAUGAUGCCUAUCCUUGUCCUUGUGCUAUUGUAUUCUUCAUGGUCCUUUUACCCCUCCAUGUGCCCUACCACCUCCCUGUCCCUCAUACCUAGAUUCUCCCUAUUUCUUAGUUUCUCUCACUAGCACCAUUUCAAUUCUUAGGCAAUGCAAUAUUUGUUCAUGUUUGUGUCACUUGCAAGCUGGCUCUCAAAUAUUUCUGUUGUUGAGUCCCUUUCUCCUCUUACCAUUUCUGUUUGAAUUUUGCCCACCUUUGCUUUUCCUGGCCUUUAAACCUACCUUUUCUUUUUAGUGUGUACGAUUUCUUAUAUAUGUUUACAUGUAAUUUACCCUCUUCAGCAAGAGAUGAAACACAUGAGUACCACCAAUAGCCACACCAUGUCUAUGGGGACCUACAAACGAAUGGAAUAUUGACGUGUGGGUCGACACAGCACGCGGCAACGUAUCCUUAGAGUCCACUGCCUCACGUGACAUACUAAUCACUUUCACUUAAUAUAAUAAAAAAUAACACAGUGAGAUGCCUUUCAAGUUUCAACUAUAGGUCGAUCUGCAUACAGUUACGAAUUACAUGCAUAAGCAUCAAGAGAGCAGGCCCAUUCAGGAACUUGCCAGCAAAAUUGAUGAUGCUAUGCGCAUCAAGAUACCAAAUGGAGUUAGAAAAACAAGUUAAGGUUGGUAGAUCUAGGUGAUGACAUGGGUAAAAAAUCUUGAAAACUCCUUCAUUGUGCAAAUGAUGGUACUUUUUUUACGCAUUCUUCUAUCAGUAUGCAAACAUGCUAGAUUGUGGCCUCCACUCUCUUGCAUCCAUGUAAACUGAGACGCAAAGCUUUUGUGUUUAUUUGAAAAAAAAUGUUAGGCCUUUGCUGUUUGUGCCAGCUUUCAGUUUUCUGUACGAUGCUAUGUUACUUGUAAUUCAUGAACACUGAUCUUGAUUGAUUUGGGUAUCAGAAAAAAACCUGGCGAUUUUUUAGGUGGUCUGGAAGGAGCGUAAUAACAGUCCUUAACAAAGCAUAAGACCACAAAUUAAUAUGGGGGAUCGCCGACGAAGAAAGGUUGUGGAGGGACAGAGGUAGAAGAGCCAUUGAUCUGGAGAGGUUGUUGUUAUGCUUUGACUCUAAUUGCUUGUUAAUUGUAGUACUUCCGAUCAUUCACCAUUUAUCUCUAUGUUCUUUACUGUAAAAACAGCAGCAUGUACCGUAUCUUUUUGGUAAAACAACAAACACUGCAGAUAGAAGUUGUGAUUCCUGUGUAAAUACUCUGCAAAUUCCAUCAUCUUCUGCGGGAUCAUCAACAAACAUUUUGUCAGGCAUACUUCAAUCACAAUUCACAGUCGGUCUUACCGGGUGAUCACGGAACGAGGUGUCUAACACUCAAGUCUAACCUGAAAAUAAAGGAGAAUGAUUUAUCAACAUUAAGAAUACGUUUCUAACUUCGUUGUUGCCAUCAUUCUGUUCACUCUGACAUCUAUUGUUUGUGAGGUACUGAGUUGUCAUUUUGCUAAAUAUAUAUUCCACAGAAAUCAUUAUUCUGAAUCUUUGGUUUA